GCUGUUGACAAUCAUUGUCUUAGAUGCAUUAGAUUAAUUGGAAUUGCAAAGUGGUGAGAGUCUGUUAUCCCUCCUGAAUUUUAUUUUACUUGGACUAUUUCUAUAAGAGAAAUGUCUCCUCAUCAAUGAUUUGGUUAACUAGUAGGUAAGUGUUUGAUUCUUUGCUUUCCUUAACAGUUCUCGGAGGGUUCGAGCUGUGUGUAGGACAGGUCCCUGUGUUUGCGGUGCAGAGAAUGGGUUGGAGGGCAAGAAGGUGGCGGAGGGGAGCAAGGGAGGAGGUGACUGCACUCCAGGUGGCAAUCUGGCCAUGGCCAACCCCUGGGCAGCCAGCCAACUCUCUCCCCUAGACCUCAGGAGUCUCCUUUGAAAGGCCAAUGAGCACUCAGCACCCGCUAACCUCAUCGUCCUUUCUGCCGUGUCCUGUGCCCUGGGACCGCCACUCCAGUCAGGCCCCUGUCCCAGGUUGUCUCCCAUCGGGGCUUGGAUGGAAAGCUGCAGCCUCUUACUCUAUGCAGACAGACAGCUCUGGUCCACUCCCGCCCUCUCUGCCCUCCCUUCCGUCCUCCUCUUAUCCAGGUAAACUCCUUGUAAGAGUUGUUGACACUGCUAUCUCCACUUCCUCACUGUUUCUGUGUCUGCAGGAUGCAGUCAGAAACCAGCUGUGGAAGGAAUGAAUAAAUACAGGUCCCCAUCAUUUCCUUUUCUCCUGCUUCUUACCCUGGCUGGCAGCCUUCCCCCAUCUUAUUCCCUUGACCUACCUGUUGGAUGCAGCUAAGGUCACUGAUGAUUUCUGAUGCCGACUCUGGGCUCACUGGCUUCAGAGCUCCCUGGGGACCAAGAGACAGACGCAGGGGUGAGUUACAAAAUCCUUGGACCUAUAUUCUGCCUCAUUCUCCCACUCCCCCACCUUCCCAACACCAACCCUGUGCCAGUAAAGGGCUUAGCUAGGGGUGGGGGCAAAGAAGUCACGGCAACUGGCAGGCAUCUGGGAGCGGAGAGCCUGGUCCCAGGCCAGCAAGCUUGGAGACCUCAGCUUGCAGGAGCAAGAGAUCAUAGACCAUCUGCACAUUAAGUAGCCUGCGGGUC